GACGAACGCUGGCGGCGUGCUUAACACAUGCAAGUCGAACGGAAAGGCCCUGCUUUUGUGGGGUGCUCGAGUGGCGAACGGGUGAGUAACACGUGAGUAACCUGCCCUUGACUUUGGGAUAACUUCAGGAAACUGGGGCUAAUACCGGAUAGGAGCUCCUGCUGCAUGGUGGGGGUUGGAAAGUUUCGGCGGUUGGGGAUGGACUCGCGGCUUAUCAGCUUGUUGGUGAGGUAGUGGCUUACCAAGGCUUUGACGGGUAGCCGGCCUGAGAGGGUGACCGGCCACAUUGGGACUGAGAUACGGCGCAGACUCCUACGGGAGGCAGCAGUGGGGAAUAUUGCACAAUGGGCGGAAGCCUGAUGCAGCAACGCCGCGUGCGGGAUGACGGCCUUCGGGUUGUAAACCGCUUUCGCCUGUGACGAAGCGUGAGUGACGGUAAUGGGUAAAGAAGCACCGGCUAACUACGUG
rnacentral:rRNA from 1 species